rnacentral:rRNA from 1 species
GACGAACGCUGGCGGCGUGCUUAACACAUGCAAGUCGAACGGAAAGGCCCUGCUUUUGUGGGGUGCUCGAGUGGCGAACGGGUGAGUAACACGUGAGUAACCUGCCCUUGACUUUGGGAUAACUUCAGGAAACUGGGGCUAAUACCGGAUAGGAGCUCCUGCUGCAUGGUGGGGGUUGGAAAGUUUCGGCGGUUGGGGAUGGACUCGCGGCUUAUCAGCUUGUUGGUGGGGUAGUGGCUUACCAAGGCUUUGACCGGUAGCCGGCCUGAGAGGGUGACCGGACACAUUGGGACUGAGAUACGGCCCAGACUCCUACAGGAGGCAGCAGUCGGAAAUAUUGCACAAUGGGCGGAAGCGUGAUGCAGCAACGCCGCGUGCGGGAUGACGGCCUGCGGGUUGUAAACCGCUUUCGCCUGUGACGAAGCGUGAGUGACGGUAAUGAGUAAAGAAGCACCGGCUAACUACGUG